UCACCGGUGGCCACCGUGGCAGUCAACGUGUUAAUAUGAUAUAAAAUAUAAAUUUAGAUUAUAUAAAUAUUUAUAUACAUAUAAAUAGAAUAUAAAGCAAUUGGAAAAUGUGUCUGUUAAACAUUGCCGUUAAGGUCGCUAAGGGUUAAUGACCGCCAACUUGUACGAACAGCGAAAACUGUAAAAUCAAACUGUAGAGAUUUUAAUCGGUGCCACGUUUGUUCUGUCCAAGAUAAAAGGAGGAAUUAUCUCUCUACGACGCGUGACGCUUAAAACACUUCGUUCCGCUUUCGUCGACGCCGAAACGCUUUGGGAAAGGUUAGUUCCUGCUCGAUUGGACACGUUCGACCGUUCAAAACCGCACGGCGGGAUGUUACGACAUGCCUCCUCUCUUCGAAGGCUAAAGCUUGCUGGAAAGCUAGAGAAAACGCCUAGAUAAAGGGGAUCUUUGCUUAUGUCUGACAAAGAACUUGACACUUGUCUGCCUGGAGACGGUAAACGCCGUGCGGAACGAAACAAAGAUUGAAUACGGACUGUAAUCUCAGGUGUGUCUGGGUUGAAGAUUCGCGAUGCCUGGAGUUAACCGUUACGUGUUUAUAAACACGGAAAACGACGGUCACGAGCAAUUUAUUAAAGUGUUCACUGGUAUUUGAAAAAUGUAUGUUUUUAUUUAUGAAAUAGAAUGAGCGUCGUAUAGAAAGUUGAAGAGAUGUAAUUUUAUCAUUUUUAUAAGAAACUAAAUAUGAAUAAUUUAGAAUACUUAGUUGUUAUAAUAUUAAUUGUACUCUUAUCUG